GACCGAGACCUUUUCUUUACGCCUUGGCCACGGGGCAGGGAGGACCUCGAACACGUGCUCCUGAAGGUCCUGAGUGGUGGACAAGGCUGCAUAUCCACAACACCUCAGCCCUUCUAUUAGGACUUUGUAACACUUGGGUGCUACUUCAAAGGCCCAUUAUAUGCCUAAGUCUUGCGUGCUGGAUGAGGCUGCCUGUCAACUACCUCAGCACCUCCUGUGAGGACUGGUGACAAGUUAUGUUCCUGUGGUCCAUUAUAUGCUCAAGUCUUGAGUGCUGGAUGAGGCUACCUAUCAACUACCUCAGCACCUCUUGUGAGGACGGGUGACAAGUUAUUUAUAAAAAUGGAAAGUACGGAGCAGAACAAAAAUGAAGUAGAGCAGUGUGCACAGCCCUCAUCACGUGCUACUGCAAAAAGAAAGUAUGAGUGCACAACCUGUGGGAAGCAGAUGAUCAAGAAGAGUCACCUUACUGCCCACAUGUCCAUCCAUACAGGUGCCAAGAAGUUCAAAUGUGAUGAGUGUGGAAAGCGAUUCAAUCAGAUGGGAAACUUAAACUUGCAUACUCUCACCCACACACUAGAGAGAAACUUUAAAUGUGAAGUAUGUAAUAAGACAUAUACUUUAAAGGGUGACCUUAAGAAACAUCUUCUAAUUCAUGAAGGUAAAAAAGAGUUUGUGUGUGGUAAAUGUAAAAGAUCCUUCACACAGAAAUGUAGCCUAAAAACACACAUGAGAAUACACAUGCAAGUGCCAAAACAAUUUAAAUGUAUCGAAUGUGGUAAAGAGUUCUCUCAUAAAAUGAGCCUAAUUUUACACAUGCGGAUCCACACCGAUUCAAAAAAAUUUCAAUGUGAUAAUUGUGAAGGUCUCUACAAGUCAAAGAAUUCUCUUCAAGACCACCUCAUAAAUCGCUGUUUCAAAGGGGAAAGUUAAGGAAAUAAAAUAUAUAAAAAAUUCAAAA